GGGUGCGUAACGCGUAAGCAACUUGCCCAUAGGAUGGGGAUAACGUCGAGAAAUCGGCGCUAAUACCCAAUAAUGCAGCGGCAUCGCAUGAUGAUGUUGUUAAAGGUCGCUUCGGUGGCGCCUAUGGAUGGGCUUGCGUCUGAUUAGUUAGUUGGCGAGGUAACGGCUCACCAAGACGACGAUCAGUAGCUGGUCUGAGAGGAUGAUCAGCCACACUGGAACUGAGACACGGUCCAGACUCCUACGGGAGGCAGCAGUGAGGAAUAUUGGGCAAUGCCCGCAAGGGUGACCCAGCAACGCCGCGUGGAGGACGACAGCCGUAAGGUUGUAAACUCCUGUUCGGGGGGACGAAUAACCGUCGUUUGCAAAGGCGACGGCUUGACGGUACCCUCAGAGAAAGCCCCGGCUAACUACGUGCCAGCAGCCGCGGUAAUACGUAGGGGGCAAACGUUGUCCGGAUUUACUGGGUGUAAAGGGCGCGCAGGCGGGUCGGUCAGUCAGAGGUGAAAGCCCACAGCUUAACUGUGGAACUGCCUUUGAUACUGCCGAUCUUGAGUGCGGGAGAGAGAAGCGGAAUUCCAGGUGUAGCGGUGAAAUACGUAGAUAUCUGGAAGAACACCGGUUGCGAAGGCGGCUUCUUGGACCGACACUGACGCUGAGGCGCGAAAGCGUGGGGAGCGAACAGGAUUAGAUACCCUGGUAGUCCACGCUGUAAACGAUGAAUGUUAGAUGUCGGGGGAUUUUUCCUUCGGCGUCAAAGUUAACGCAUUAAACAUUCCACCUGGGAAGUACGAUCGCAAGGUUGAAACUCAAAGGAAUUGACGGGGGCCCGCACAAGCAGUGGAGCAUGUGGUUUAAUUCGAUGCAACGCGAAGAACCUUACCUAGGCUUGAAAUGUGUUCGAUCGGUCGUGAAAGCGACCUUCCUUCGGGCGGACACACAGGUGCUGCAUGGCUGUCGUCAGCUCGUGCCGCGAGGUGUUGGGUUAA
rnacentral:rRNA from 1 species